rnacentral:tRNA from 1 species
CAGAAAGUAGUUUAAGUAAAAAUUUUAGUUUUGGGGACUAAGGAUGGGAGUUUCUCCUUUCUGA